UUGUAGGUGGCUCAGUGGUAAGAGUUUGGAAUUAAGGCUCCUAUGAUCUCAGGUUCAAGUCAUGUGGUUGCUAA
rnacentral:tRNA from 1 species